UUGGCCUCGUCUAAACGAUCG
rnacentral:siRNA from 1 species